AACUCACUCAGAUUCAGUACACAGCCUGGCCUGACCAUGGGGUACCUGACGACUCAAGUGACUUUCUGGAUUUCGUUUGUCAUGUCCGAAACAAGAGGGCUGGAAAAGAAGAGCCGAUUAUUGUUCAUUGCAGUGCUGGAAUAGGAAGGACUGGGGUUCUCAUCACUAUGGAAACUGCUAUGUGUCUCAUUGAAUGCAAUCAGCCAGUGUAUCCACUAGACAUUGUAAGAACAAUGAGAGAUCAAAGAGCCAUGAUGAUCCAAACCCCUAGUCAAUACAGAUUUGUAUGUGAAGCUAUUUUGAAAGUUUAUGAAGAAGGCUUUGUUAAACCAUUAACAACAUCAUCAAAUAAAUAAGAAAGCAAAAAGGUUGGAA
rnacentral:lncRNA from 1 species